CCCGCCGCAGGUGCCACCUCGGGCAUCCCCCGCGCCCCUUCCCCAGCCCCUGCGGGCGAUGCCGAGCCCGCAGGAGAGCGAACGGGGAAGGGUUUAUUUUCCACGCGAAAUACGAAAUGAAAGGCAGAGCAGCAGAGGUGCGGACGGGGCGGGCUCCGCGCGGCCAAGCCCAGGAUGAAACGGUGAUUCCUCCUCAGAACUUUGGCUUCAGUGCCAAACCUGCUGUUUCCCAGGAGCUGAAUGUCCUCCCAAAAAAGAUUCAUCACAGUUUGGUUCCUCUCUGUGUUUCACACAACUUCCACUGAAAUGUUUGCAGGACCAAGGUCAGGAACCUCACAGGCUCCUCACACCACCCCGGGGAACAGGACAACCCCCAGGAGGAGGUCACCAGGAGAGUGAGAGGAAAUAGAAACCACUGCAGAGAAAACAUCAACAAGGAGUUACAAACUCACGUUUCCUGUGGCUACAUCACCACGGGACCAGUGAAGGGCUUUGUUCUCCUCCCCAUCCCACGAACCUCCACCUGCACAGGGAGAAUCUCAGGGAGAAGGAUCGACAGGGAGGCCAAACCCAUCCAUAGCACGAGUCAAGUUGCUGCCUGCAGUACUUGCACCUGCUUUCCCAGGAUUGGGCUGCAG